GCUCCCUUCGGGGAGUGCAUAAAGUGGCGCACGGGUGAGUAACACGUAAGUAAUCUACCUUCGAGUGGGGAAUAACGUUCGGAAACGGACGCUAAUACCGCAUAAUGCAGCGGCAUCGCAAGAUGACAGUUGUUAAAGAUUUAUUGCUUGAAGAGGAGCUUGCGGCAGAUUAGCUAGUUGGUAAGGUAAUGGCUUACCAAGGCUACGAUCUGUAUCCGGUCUAAGAGGACGGUCGGACACACUGACACUGAAUAACGGGUCAGACUCCUACGGGAGGCAGCAGUCGGGAAUUUUGGGCAAUGGGGGAAACCCUGACCCAGCAACGCCGCGUGAAGGAUGAAGUAUUUCGGUAUGUAAACUUCGAAAGAAUAGGAAGAAUAAAUGACGGUACUAUUUAUAAGCUCCGGCUAACUACGUGCCAGCAGCCGCGGUAAUACGUAGGGAGCAAGCGUUGUUCGGAUUUACUGGGCGUAAAGGGCGCGUAGGCGGCGCGGUAAGUCACUUGUGAAAUCUCUGAGCUUAACUCAGAACGGCCAAGUGAUACUGCAGUGCUAGAGUGCAGAAGGGGCAAUCGGAAUUCUUGGUGUAGCGGUGAAAUGCGUAGAUAUCAAGAGGAACACCUGAGGUGAAGACGGGUUGCUGGGCUGACACUGACGCUGAGUGCGCGAAAGCCAGGGGAGCAAACGGGAUUAGAUACCCCGGUAGUCCUGGCCCUAAACGAUGAAUACUUGGUGUCUGGAGUUUCAAUACUCCGGGUGCCGUCGCUAACGUUUUAAGUAUUCCGCCUGGGGAGUACGCUCGCAAGAGUG
rnacentral:rRNA from 1 species